CGGGGAAAUGCAGACUCCCCGUCAGACGGUUUUUCCGUCCAAGCUCUGC
rnacentral:ncRNA from 1 species